ACAACGGGGCCAACAUUGUGAAAGCCGUCGCACUCAACAACUGGACCAGACUUUCAUGCUUCGGACAUCGCCUGCACAUUGCAAUAGAAAGAAGUGUGAAGGACCCAAGGAUCGAACGAGCAGUUGGAGUGGGAAAGAAGAUUGUUGCUGCUUUUGGCCAUAGCUGGAAGCGCCAGCGAGCUCUGCAGGCUGCCCAAAAGGAACUGGGCCUACCAGAACACAAACUCAUAACUGAAUGUUGCACUCGUUGGGGUUCAAAGCAGAGAAUGAUCCAACGGCUGCUGGAACAAGAAAAAGCUAUAACACAGGUUUUAGCUGCUGAUAAAACCACAAGGCACCUCAUGUUGACAUGGCAAGACAUUGAAGUGCUUGACUCGGUCAGCACUGCACUGAAUCCACUCCUAGAGUUUACAGAUGCUUUCUCUGCUGAAGAGUAUGUAACCAUUUCAUGUGUUAAGCCUGUUCUUCAGAUGUUUAACAAUGACAUGUUAAAAGUAAAAGAAGGUGACACUGAGCUGACCAAAGACAUCAAAACAGCAAUACUUGACUACAUGAACAAAAGCUACACAGACAGUGUCACAGAGAGGCUUGUUAACAUGGCUUCUUUCCUUGAUCCACGGUUUCAUACAGAAUAUUUCAGUGAGAGAGAAAGCAAAGCCAUCAAAGUUCAAGUCAUGAGUGAACUAGAGCAUCUUGUCCCACACCAGGGUAUCACAGGUUUUUCAGAAACACUUCAUACAUCUACUGGUGACCAAACAAAUCAGGGAGCUGUUAAAAAGCAAAAGAAGAGUCUCGGGAGUUUUUUGAAGGGACCAGUUAGUGGCAAGAUGGAGGUAACUGCAGAGAGGUUAUCAUCUGAACUGAGAUGUUAUGUGAAUAGUCCACCAGCAGACAGUGAGUGUGAUCCUCUUUCGUGGUGGAAAGUUCACACAGUAAACUUUCCCCACAUCAGCAGAUUAGCUAGGAAAUACCUCUGCAUUCCAGCAACUAGCUCUGCAUCUGAAAGGUUGUUCAGCACAGGUGGAAAUGUUGUAACUUGUCAAAGGUCCUCCCUUAAGCCCGCAUCUGUGAACAUGUUAGUGUUUCUGACAAAGAAUCUUAAAACUUGAAAUGUAGAAAAACUUCCAGGAGCAGUAGCAUAAUUUAUCUGUUUUUUGUUUGUUUUGUUUUUACUCAAGAGUUUGUGCAAUAUUAUUAUUUGACUUAUUGAUUUUGCACACUGCACUUUUGUUACAAAGCACCUCUUAAGUUUUGUGGAUAUACAUGAUUAUGGAUAACCAUGUAUAUAACAGGAUAACCACUGUUGAAUUUUGUGUGGCUGUAAUGCACGUUAAAAUAAACAGCUGCUUGUUUAAACAAAAA